CUUUUCAACGUCGUUGCUGGGAUCAGAAGGAACAUUUGAAAGGUGGAUAACUACCUUAACCUUACAGACUUCAGUGAAGAGGAGGGAGAUCUUGGAAUCUCACCAGUUGUACUCCUUGGGGAGGUAGAUGAGGACCUGCCUGCAUACAUGCCUUCCCUCUGUCGCCACAUUCGGCUGGAACUCCAUACCUGUCAGCGUCCACACAGACAACUGGAACGCCUCAGUGGCCAGAGUCCAAGGAAGAAAAAAACACUCCUGCAGACCAGAUUCCCGCACCUUGUCCCUAGGUCUGUGUGGACACUUUCAAACAGGGGAGCUCCAAGGAGGUGUGGUGCAGACUCAUUCAGCAGAGCUU